GUUACCUCUCAGCUCUGUGUUCUUGGGGAACCCUGGCACAGGACGCAGCCUGUCUGACUCACAAAGAAUUCCCCCUCCCCCACCUAAACAAAACUGAUUAAGAUGCAGUGGGAGACAUACCUAAAGCCCUCCAGAUAAGGGAGCAACUGCCCUAGGUCUCAUUUGCAUCCAAGAUGGAACCAGAUGACCAUUCAUUUACAUGAGAGAUGGAGAACAGAAAGCCAAAGCAAAGACUGCAGUGAAUUCUGGGAUCAGAUAAGCAGGGGAGCACUGCAUGAUGGGGAAGCUGUGCUCCAAAUGCUAAUCAACCUACAUUUAUACACACCCAGCUCAGCAUUUAUCAGACCAGUUCUAAAUCUGGAUUUACAAAGGACCUUCUCCCUCCCCCUCCCCCCCCCCCCCCCAAAUCAUCUAACCAGAACUAAGCAGAAGUAAAGUUUAAUAGGCAGCUCAGGCCAUACAUUUCCUGGUCCCAGUAUGGGAGGCCUAUUUAAACUUGAUUGACUAAAACUUGAUUGUUGGGUUAGGGAAUGCUGAGGCAAAGAGACCAAGUCAGAGGGGGUAUGGGCAACAUUUGAACAAUGGUAAAGGGUUCAUCACAAUGUCCAGCCCGUUGGAUCCCUGACCACAAGUGUUGUCAUACUUUUCCCAGGAUAACUGGUGGAAGUCCUCCCCACAAAGGGUUAUGAACAUUCCGAUAAUUGCCUUAAGUCUGUUAAAAGACUAUAGUAAGAUCUGGAAAAGUCAUGCUAAGCUGAGGCUUGUUCACAACAGGUAAAAAUCCAAAACCCUGAUGCUGCAAGCUAUUUAUUGUUUCUGAAGAAACAGUGAGGUAUCCCAUCCAGUAUAUCUGCUAUCCAUAGGAAUUUCAAGCUGGCUCCUAAGUGUCUGGUUACUCCUUAACCUUAUGUUUUUCCUGGUUAUCAAUCAGUUCCUUGAGAUGUUGCAAACCAGAUAACUCCCUUGUCAAUAGAAAAGACAAUUAUUUAUACUAUUAAGAAUGCUUUAUAGAAGCUGAACCAAGGGUAUAAAAAUCUGUUAAAAAAGGCAGCAAAGCGUGUGUGCUUCAAGAGGAGAAAUCUCUCUGACACCAUCCGCUGUUGUUCUCAAGAAACUGAAAGAAACAGAUCAUCUCCUUUCAAGGAUUGUGCUAAGAACUUUACCUGUCAGCAUUGGAACCUGAGUGCUUUGGACUGGUGAGAUCCCAGCUCUCACUCUCUCUCUCUUUUAUCUUUUCUCUCUUGGCAUAGAUUUCUGAACCUGAACUGUAUUAGUUAAGCUUGAGCUAAAUUUCCCCAAAUACUUAGUGAAACCAGGGUAGUAUUGUAAUUGUUUAUGUUUGAUUUCAUUUGCAUGUCUAUUACUAUUAGUACCAUUAUAUAUUUCAUAUACUUAGCAAUAAAUAACUUUUAUAGGCAAACUGGUAGUAACUGGGUAUAUUUUUCCUUCUCUACUUCUCCUUCCCCACUUGCUCUGCAGUAACACUUCUUUUACCUAAGCUAAAGAUUCCUAUGAAGCCCCAAAAUACUGUGGAGUCUGCUCAUCAAGAGGCUAAAGAUUGGGACGUGCUGAUUUUGAAACACAUAAGGGGAUCAGCUUGUACAGGCUAAUUGACCCAGUUUGGCUCAGAUGUGCCCUAAUGAACUGAAUGCUGGCCCAUGAGGGUGUCAGCUGGACACCCAACUGGAUCAAGAGACAAAUAUGGCCACAAACUGCAUACCUGACACAUGGAAGACAUCAAAUUUUAAGUUCAUUUUUAAAAUGAAAUCUUCAUAAUUUUACAAGGUGGAAGCAAGUUUUACCACUUGAAACCUGAGACCCUGCUCCUGCCUUUGUUAGAGGUAAUUUGCAUCAUCACUGAGCGGAGAGAUAUCUCACCACAUAAGAAAUUCCUGCCUAGAAGAGCAUUUAAUUCUUUUACUCUUCUGUGAAAUAGAAAACAUCAUAACCAGAAGGAAAUAUAACUACAUCCUGCUUGCUACCAAACAACUUUGAGAUACCACCCUAGAUUGGAUGUACCAGAGAAUGACCCAUGAGCCUGCUUCCUGGAAGACUGUGGGAAAGUAGUUGCAGCAACAGCCUGCACAUAGUACAGCAGGUAAGGCUGCUGAUGGUAAGUCUUUUUCUUAAAGUAUUCUAGCUUUUAUGUGACAAACAAGCACUUGUGAUCACAGGAAAAUUUCAGCUGUGUAGCAGACGGGGGAAAAAAAGUUUGUUGCAGGACAGAAAAGGGCCAGAGGAAGACAAAUAUAAACACAAGGCUUCUCUGAACCUUGUCUCCUAACCCUUUGUCUUGUUAGGUAUUUGAUUCACCAGUGACAUGUCUGUCCAGUUUAUUUCCUGUUAGUUCUGUCAUUUUCUGCUGUGUUUAGUGUCCUCUUGAGUCCUGCAAGAAUUCUUAGCUCCUGGAAUUCUACCGUUCUCAAAUCCUUUCUUAAUAAAACUAUGUAAAAUAUAGCCACUAAUUCCACCAACUUCUUCCAUUUAUUUCCAGUCUAAUUAUAGUCAUUUGUAAUGCUCAUGUGGAAAGGGAAUAUCAUUAUUGGCAGUCCCUCACAGUUGAGGAUGAUUGUUUUUUUUGUGAGGCAUAUAUGUUUCAUAUGGAAUAUGUAAGGACAGUAUCACAGAGAAAGGUAUGCAAACUGUAA